GACGAACGCUGGCGGCGUGCUUAACACAUGCAAGUCGAACGGAAAGGCCCUGCUUUUGUGGGGUGCUCGAGUGGCGAACGGGUGAGUAACACGUGAGUAACCUGCCCUUGACUUUGGGAUAACUUCAGGAAACUGGGUCUAAUACCGGAUAGGAGCUCCUGCUGCAUGGGGGGGGUUGGAAAGUUUCGGCGGUUGGGGAUGGACUCGCGGCUUAUCAGCUUGUUGGUGGGGUAGUGGCUUACAAAGGCUUUGACGGGUAGCCGGCCUGAGAGGGUGACCGGCCACAUUGGGACUGAGAUACGGCGCAGACUCCUACGGGAGGCAGCAGUGGGGAAUAUUGCACAAUGGGCGGAAGCCUGAUGCAGCAACGCCGCGUGCGGGAUGACGGCCUUCGGGUUGUAAACCGCUUUCGCCUGUGACGAAGCGUGAGUGACGGUAAUGGGUAAAGAAGCACCGGCUAACUACGUG
rnacentral:rRNA from 1 species